rnacentral:tRNA from 1 species
AAAUUUAUAGUAAAAGGAAAAUCCGUUGAUUUUUAAAAUCGUGAGGGUUCAAGUC